rnacentral:rRNA from 1 species
GACGUAGGGCGCGAGCGUUGUCCGGAUUAUUGGGCGUAAAGAGCUCGUAGGCGGUCUGUUGCGUCCGCUGUGAAAACCCGGGGCUUAACCCUGGGCUGGCAGUGGAUACGGACAGACUAGAGGUAGGUAGGGGAGAAUGGAAUUCCCGGUGUAGCGGUGAAAUGCGCAGAUAUCGGGAGGAACACCAAUGGCGAAGGCAGCUCACUGGGACGGCACUGACGCUGAGACGCGAAAGCGUGGGGAGCA